UACGUAGGGAGCAAGCGUUGUCCGGAAUCAUUGGGCGUAAAGCGCGCGUAGGUGGCUUCGUAAGUCCGUUGUGAAAGUCAAAGGCUCAACCUUUGAAAGCCGAUGGAUACUGCGGAGCUAGAGUACGGAAGAGGCGAGUGGAAUUCCUGGUGUAGCGGUGAAAUGCGUAGAUACCAGGAGGAACACCGGUGGCGAAGGCGGCUUCCUGGACCGGCAUUGACGCUGAGGAGCGAAAGCCAGGGGAGCAAACGGG
rnacentral:rRNA from 1 species